rfam:Dipodomys ordii contig_69101, whole genome shotgun sequence.
GGUGGCUCAGUGGUAGAGCGCUUGUCUUGCAUGCAUGAGGCCCUGGGUUCAAUUCCUCAGCACCA